GACGAACGCUGGCGGCGUGCUUAACACAUGCAAGUCGAACGGAAAGGCCCUGCUUUUGUGGGGUGCUCGAGUGGCGAACGGGUGAGUAACACGUGAGUAACCUGCCCUUGACUUUGGGAUAACUUCAGGAAACUGGGGCUAAUACCGGAUAGGAGCUCCUGCUGCAUGGUGGGGGUUGGAAAGUUUCGGCGGUUGGGGAUGGACUCGCGGCUUAUCAGCUUGUUGGUGGGGUAGUGGCUUACCAAGGCUUUGACGGGUAGCCGGCCUGAGAGGGUGACCGGCCACAUUGGGACUGAGAUACGGCCCAGACUCCUACGGGAGGCAGCAGUGGGGAAUAUUGCACAAUGGGCGGAAGCCUGAUGCAGCAACGCCGCGUGCGGGAUGACGGCCUUCGGGUCGUAAACCGCUUUCGCCUGUGACGAAGCGUGAGUGACGGUAAUGGGUAAAGAAGCACCGGCGAACUACGU
rnacentral:rRNA from 1 species